rnacentral:misc_RNA from 1 species
GAUGAAGAACGCAGCGAAAUGCGAUGCGUAGUGUGAAUUGCAGAAUUCAGUGAAUCAUCGAAUCUUUGAACGCACAUUGCACCUCUCGGUAUUCCGGGAGGUAUGCCUGUUCGAGCGUCAUUUGUACCCUCAAGCUCUGCUUGGUGUUGGGUGUUUGUUCCGCCUCUGUGUGUGAACUCGCCUCAAAACAAUUGGCAGCCGGCGUACUUGUUUCGGAGCGCAGCACAUUUUGCGAUCCAGAUCAACGUACAGCGGCAUCCAAGAAGCCUUAUUUAACGCUCUUGACCUCGGAUCAGGUAGGGAUACCCGCUGAACUUAAGCAUAUCAUAAGCGGAGGA